rnacentral:rRNA from 1 species
AUACGGCCCAGACUCCUACGGGAGGCAGCAGUGGGGAAUAUUGCACAAUGGGCGCAAGCCUGAUGCAGCGACGCCGCGUGAGGGAUGGAGGCCUUCGGGUUGUAAACCUCUUUUAUCGGGGAGCAAGCGAGAGUGAGUUUACCCGUUGAAUAAGCACCGGCUAACUACGUGCCAGCAGCCGCGGUAAUACGUAGGGUGCAAGCGUUAUCCGGAAUUAUUGGGCGUAAAGGGCUCGUAGGCGGUUCGUCGCGUCCGGUGUGAAAGUCCAUCGCUUAACGGUGGAUCCGCGCCGGGUACGGGCGGGCUUGAGUGCGGUAGGGGAGACUGGAAUUCCCGGUGUAACGGUGGAAUGUGUAGAUAUCGGGAAGAACACCAAUGGCGAAGGCAGGUCUCUGGGCCGUUACUGACGCUGAGGAGCGAAAGCGUGGGGAGCGAACAGGAUUAGAUACCCUGGUAGUCCACGCCGUAAACGGUGGAUGCUGGAUGUGGGGCCCGUUCCACGGGUUCCGUGUCGGAGCUAACGCGUUAAGCAUCCCGCCUGGGGAGUACGGCCGCAAGGCUAAAACUCAAAGAAAUUGACGGGGGCCCGCACAAGCGGCGGAGCAUGCGGAUUAAUUCGAUGCAACGCGAAGAACCUUACCUGGGCUUGACAUGUUCCCGACGGUCGUAGAGAUACGGCUUCCCUUCGGGGCGGGUUCACAGGUGGUGCAUGGUCGUCGUCAGCUCGUGUCGUGAGAUGUUGGGUUAAGUCCCGCAACGAGCGCAACCCUCGCCCCGUGUUGCCAGCGGAUUAUGCCGGGAACUCACGGGGGACCGCCGGGGUUAACUCGGAGGAAGGUGGGGAUGACGUCAGAUCAUCAUGCCCCUUACGUCCAGGGCUUCACGCAUGCUACAAUGGCCGGUACAACGGGAUGCGACGCGGCGACGCGGAGCGGAUCCCUGAAAACCGGUCUCAGUUCGGAUCGCAGUCUGCAACUCGACUGCGUGAAGGCGGAGUCGCUAGUAAUCGCGAAUCAGCAACGUCGCGGUGAAUGCGUUCCCGGGCCUUGUACACACCGCCCGUCAAGUCAUGAAAGUGGGCAGCACCCGAAGCCGGUGGCCUAACCCCUUGUGGGAUGGAGCCGUCUAAGGUGAGGCUCGUGAUUGGGACUAAGUCGUAACAAGGUAGCCGUACCGGAAGGUGCGGCUG